UGAGGGUCCUCAGAACAUGAACUCGACCAUCGCCUCCACUAUGACCAUCACCUCAACUACCUCCAAUUCCAUCACCCCUUAAUGUCCCGGCUAUAUUUUACAUUUUGGUUCUGCUUCUUUGUUAGAAUAAUUGUAGAUUUUGAUUGCUUAGAUAAUCGAGUGGUCUAGAGCUUGAAUAAGUAAAAUUUAGUUAACAUGAGUAAUAGUGCACACUACAAUUUAUAAAAAAAAAAGAAAAAAAAAAGAGAGAGGGUAAAAAGUACCAGACACAUCCUUAACAUAGUCAUGCAUUGUCUAAUCUCUCAUAAUAAAGUAAAAGAAAAGUGCAUCGAGUGCAUUCUCAAGAAAGAUGUUCAAGUUACUUCUGUUGAUCUAUUCUAUCCCUGUUGUGCAGCAAUAACUUUAUGAUCAUCAAAAAGGUGAUUAGUGGCUUCGUUGCUUAUUGUUCUAAGUCCAAUAACUACAUUAAAGGCUUUUGGAUAAUCAGUUAAUCAUGUUUAAUCAUAUGUCCUUUCCUCAUGGUCUAAUUUGAUAUCAUACUAUUUCGUACAUUAGAAAUGCUUAUUUUUCGGGUACAUUUCAAAAGUAUGUAAAUUAAAAAAAUUUCCACUGUGUAUCUACUAUUUUUCAUUUUGAUUACCUCUUCAGUCAUUCAGAAAGUUCAUUUGUAUUUUGUUGCGUGAACCCAAUUCCGUUUACUUUUCCACAGGUAAAUAAGAGCACGUGAUGAUGCGCGUCCGGACUUUCCUGCGACGCGCAUGAUCAUUGAAAAAUUCCCAGUGUGUAUCUACUAUUUUUUGACUUUUGUCCCGAUCCGGACUUUCCUGCGACGCGCAUUCCUACAAAAAGAGAGCGAAUGCAAUGGCUUGAAAUUUCACCUCCAUAUUACCUCUUCAGCCUGCGAUUCUCUCUCUCUCCUGGAGCUCCUGCGAUCCUGCCUCUCUCUCUCUCUCUCUCGCUCUCAAUCGCAGCCUGCGAUUCGCAGGAACCCUCUAUACGCAGCAACCCUAGAUCCACCGCACCCUCGCCAAUCGCCACCAUCGUCGUUACUUAGCCGGUUCGCCUCUUGUUGGUGCGCCGCAGGAACGCAACCCAACUCGUUGUCGCCUCUCGUCUUCUUGUCGCUAGGCCCAGACUCGCUACCAUCGCCUCUCUUUUGCAGCUCCCCCACUCCGACACAGCUAUUCCAGAGCGAGGUCUCGGUCGCGCUUAUUUGGGGCUGGUUUGCCGAAGUUGGUAGGUUCGAUUCAAGGUCUCUGGACAGCUUGCACCCUUGAAGAAUUUAAAACUUGGCCUGAUCUUCCAUAAUUUUGUUGGACUCUGGGAUUGUCUUGCUCUAUUGGUCAGCACAAAUGGAGCAUUUGGACAUUAUUACAACUGCAUGCUCCAAAGGACAUAUAAACUAAUGCGGUGUUGAUUUCCAUGUUGCUGAUUAUAUGGUUGCAGAAUCACAUGAUUUGGUGCUUAAUGUUUCAAUAGGAGGAUUAUGUUGUUUUCUUGCAUAUUAAUGUAAAAUUCGAAGCUGUAUAAGAUAUGGGCCGGUUGUAAAAUAGGUUCUAGUGGAAACCGGGUUGACCUUGGAACCGGACCAAAUAGGGUGGUUCCAAAAUAUGGUCCAGUUCAAACGGGGUCUGGUAUAGGGUCCAAAAAAGAAAAACCGGUUCUAACAGGGUCGGGUACAGGGUCUAUGUUUGAAACCUACCCAUCCCGGACCCGAUUACCCCUAGAAAACACAGCUUCAAAUCUUUAGCUCACAAUCGUUGCCGAUUGUUAAACUCCAUCAUCCAAUGGCUUCUUCAUUGAAACCCAAAAAGAUUUACGACGUCUUCUUAAGUUUCAGAGGGGUAGAACUUCGUCACAACUUCGUCGGCCAUCUCUACCAAGCUUUAAUCCAGAGUGGAAUACACACUUUCCGGGAUAGCAAAGAACUGAAAAAGGGUGACCAGAUAUCGCCGAUGCUGAUGGAGGCCAUCGAAGAAUCGCACAUUGCAGUAAUCAUUUUCUCUGAGGACUACGCUUCUUCAAACUGGUGCUUGGAAGAGGUGGUGAAGAUUAUGGAGUGCAAGGAGCAAAGGAACCUCACCGUUCUGCCAGUGUUUUAUAAAGUGGAACCAAGAGAAGUGAGAAAGGGAAGAAUGAGUUAUCAAAAAGCUCUGAAUAAGCACAAGUCCAAGUUCGGGGAGGAUUCGGAGAAAGUGAAGAGAUGGAAGAAAGCUCUUUUCAACGCUGGUAGCUUGUCCGGUUGGCCUUUGAAUGAUGAAGAUGAGUCGAAGCAUAUACAAGAAAUUGUGAAAUGGAUCUCCAAUCAUCUUGACCGAAUGCCUUUGCAUGUUGCUAAGCACCCGGUUGGGAUAGAAUCUCGAGUGGUUAUGCUAAAAUCAAUGUUAAACCUUGAAUCUAAUGAUGAUGUUGUGAUGGUGGGAUUGUGGGGACAAGGAGGUAUAGGGAAGACAACCUUGGCGAAAGCCCUAUACAAUUCUUCUUUUACACAAUUUGAGGGUUCAUGUUUUCUGGCAAAUGUUCGAGAAACUUCAAAAGGUUGCAAGGAUCUAGUGACUUUGCAAGAAAUAUUAUUAAAAGAUACAUUAUUACUGCAGCAAAGAUUAGAAGUGUCCACUGUUGAUAAAGGUAUUAAUAUAAUACAACGCAGACUUGGUCGCAAGAAAGUUCUCCUAAUCCUUCAUGAUGUGGAUGACCUGCACCAGUUAAAUGCUUUAGUAGGAGAAGGCAAGUGGUUUGGUAAUGGGAGUAGGAUCAUUAUUACUACAAGAGACAGACAUUUGCUAACUUGUCAAGGGAUAUAUCAAGAUCAUGUGUAUGAAGUUGAAGCACUAGAUGACAGUCAAGCUUGCAAGCUGCUUAGUAAGCAUGCUUCUCAGGUGCACCAAAUCAGAAUAGAUCUAGUAAAUGGGGCUCUGAAUUAUGCUAAAGGUCUUCCUUUAGCACUUGAGGUGUUGGGUUCCUUAUUAUGUGGUGAAACAGAAGAUGUAUGGGAAAGUACACUAAUGAAAUUUUCUAGGAGUCCUAACAAAAGCAUUAAUAACGUGCUCAAAAUUAGUUAUGAGGGACUAGAUGAAAAUGAGAAAGAAAUCUUUCUCCACAUUUCCUGCUUCUUUAGGGGGUGGAAAAGGGAGUAUACAAAGAAAGUUCUUGAAAGUUGCGAUCUUGAGACAACUGCAGGAUUUGAAAUUCUUGUUAAGAGGUCCUUGAUAAGAAUUGAGUUGGACAUCCUAGAAAUGCAUGACUUAAUUCAAUUGAUGGGUAAGGAUAUUGUGAACCAAGAGUGUCGCGAUGAUCCUGGAAGACGCAGCAGACUAUGGUUGUAUGAUGAUGUUGACGAGGUUCUGUCCAAUGACAAGGAAGAUUGUGCUGUAAAAGCCAUAGUGUUGACGCUACCUGAGUGGACAGAGAUGUGUAUCCAUCCUGAUGCUUUUACAAAAAUGAGAAGGUUGAGAUUGCUCAUCUUGCCUAACCUGCAAGAUUCUUUCCAAGGUCCUUUAUGUCUUCCUAAGGGGCUUAGAUGGUUUGAAUGGCCUGGAUGUGCUCGCCAGAUUACUGAAUAUUCCUCUGGUUCAAUGAAAUUAGUGGGAAUUGAUAUGAGCAAAGCCAGUAUCACGGUAGUGCCUAAACAAUUUAAAGACUUCCAACAAUUGAAGUUCAUUAAUUUCAGUUAUUGCAAGUCCCUCAUUCGAAUCCCUGACCUCUCAUGGACUCCACAUCUCGAGGCAUUGGUUCUCUCUGAUUGUAAAAAUAUGGUAGAAGCCCAUGAGUCGAUUGCAUUUCUUGAGAAGUUACAGGUGUUGACUUUAGAUGGGUGCUCUCGACUUCGUGUUUUUCUGAAUGUGCUCAAGACAAAAAGACUUCGGCAUCUUCUUCUUACAAAUUGUAAAAAUUUGAAAAGGUUCCCUGAUAUUCCACAUAAACUUGAAAGUCUGACACUUAUUUCGUUAAGAGGGACUGCUAUUAAAGAACUUCCUGCAGCAGUAGAAAAUCUUGUUUCUUUGGAGAAAUUGAGCUUAUCUGUUUGCAGGAAUCUGGUAAGUCUUCCGUCUAGUAUAUACAAGUUACAUAACAUCGAAGAGCUGGAACUUAAAGGUUGCAGAUCCUUCAUUGGGUUUCCAAAGUACGAUGAUUCUGCUGAUCCAUCUAUGAAGAUCGGACUUUCAAGUUUAAAAUAUUUAGACCUUGGUGGAAGUAGUCUGACUGAAUUGGAGUUUCUCAAGAAUCAUUCCUGUUGUCCCAAAUUGGGUAAUUUACGUCUGAUGGGGACCAAAAUAACUAGCAUUCCAACAUCCAUCCUUGGGCGCAAACAUUUACAUAUUCACGUGGCGCCCCAUGUUCAUUUUGGAGGCUGGAAGAUGCUCGAUCCCUAUGCUUCUAACGGUAGAGAUUAUCUCAAGUUGGCUUUGCAAAUGCCGCCUCUCCAAGGUUACCAUGCUACUCAUCUUGGAGCGGAGUUACCAGAGUGGGUGCUCCCUAUUGAAAAAGGUUUUGCAUCCUUUAGGGCUUCUAAGGACUUGUGUCACAAGUUUCUUGGAUUCAUUCUUUGUGUUGUUCAUAGUACUGAUGAACAUGAUCAUGGAUCACAAUCAUACUACAUGGAAAUAGAAGUUAAUGGCCAAAUGCUGCAUAAGCGUAAAUGGACUCCCGUUGCAAAUUAUAACUUGUUUGUAUCAUUCACACCAUUUGAGCAGUUGCAGGGAGCAAUCAAUUUUGGUCAAAUUUAUGAGUCAUGUACAGUUUAGUGUUAAAGUAUCAGGUGGAGUCGCAAAAAAGUGUGGAUUCCGAAUAGUAUGCAAGCAACUAGAGGAAGAUUUUAUAGUUAGGCUUCAAGAUCUAAUCGAUCCAGCUUUACUCUACGAGUUUGGUUAUGAAUCAAAAUAUCCAACAGCCAUGGUUCCACUUAUGCAUGGAACGAUCAAAACGGAUAUACAGAACGACUUGCAAGAUUGUUCAGCGACGCCACUUUCAGCAUCACGACAGCUCGUCUCCCAUCUGACAACACCGAGCUCUGAUGGAUGUAAGAUUGCCACUUACCAACGACGGAGGCGACGAAGAGAAGAAGUUUGUCUCCCUGAAACAGAGUCCCUAGUGAAACGAUGGUGGCGUAGACUGAAGAGCAGAGGCGACUACCACCUCCGACCGAAGCCAUGGAAACUGAUGACUUGAAGGAUGUGUAGCUGAGGUUCUGGGCUUCAUGCCGCUUGCUGAAGAUCAGGCAGAGCUUUUGUUGGACAGCCUUGAAGUUCCAGCUGGCUGUGUGAUUGUUGAGGAUGGCAGCGUUGUUGCAGCAGGAAGAAACUGGACCGAUGAGACGCAACAGCACUUUGUUAUAGUUCUGAAUGGAUACCCUCGAAUUAUCCACUCCCAGUUUAUUAUUGAUCAUUUUAUGUUUCACCCUUUAUUUUUAUUUUUCUUUUAUAAUAUUAAGAGAGGUGUAACUGACUUUGACAUGAAACUUGAAUAGAGUAACGAACCGUGAACGGACAUUUUCAUUUUUGCAAUUGAAAAAGUAGGUCCUGCAGAUGGUACUUUGGAAAAUAACAAAAUCUACCAUGCAGUACUAAUCAAGACGAUGUACAAACUCUUGAGUCCUGUAAUUUGUA